rnacentral:rRNA from 1 species
UACGUAGGGUGCAAGCGUUAAUCGGAAUUACUGGGCGUAAAGCGUGCGUAGGUGGUUUGUUAAGUCCGUUGUGAAAGCCCCGAGCUCAACUUGGGAAUUGCAGUGGAUACUGGCAAGCUGGAGUGCGGUAGAGGAAGGUGGAAUUCCCGGUGUAGCGGUGAAAUGCGUAGAGAUCGGGAGGAACAUCAGUGGCGAAGGCGGCCAUCUGGGACAACACUGACGCUGAGGCACGAAAGCGUGGGGAGCAAACAGG